CUGGCAUAAAUAGAAGGAAGGUGGUAAGAGAUUGGGAAAGGAGAAGCGAAACUUGUACCUGACUGGGUAUCAUAAAAAUGGUUCCCAAGGGUAGCUACCUGAUGAGUCUCUUCAUCCUAAUGUUGUUGUUCUCAUCCAAAGCAGCGUUUGCCAGAGUUUCCCACUUUUCAGAAACCAAACAGAAAAAAGGUAGAGAGCUUCUGAAAAUGAAUAAUAUUCACCUGGCAAAGAAAAUAGGAGCCGAUGACCCAAUUGGCUCCGGUCCAUCGAUUCCGUGAACGGGAUAAAUUAAAAAUCAUACCUGAUAUUUGAAACAUCUACUGGCCGGCCCGGACUGAGCUAGCGGUAAUAAAGCCGAUGGGCGGUGAUCAGCUGACCCUUCUCAUAUUUGGCAUAUAUAAUAUUUGAUUGUAUGUUUGAAUUUUAUAUGACUGUAAGGAUUUAUAUAAAGGAUGAUGGAUUCACUGCACAUGAUAUGAAGACGGUAACUGAUGACCUCAGCAUCUACCAUCUCUUUAAUAAAAUGUCGAUCAACCUCCAUGUGCUUUGUACUAUCAUGUUGCACAAGUUAUGAGUAAUCGUAAUUGCAGCUUUGUUAUCACAAUACAAA